ACCUUGCUGAUGAGUGCUAAAUAACACGAAACCUGGGUCCAGGGU
rfam:Schistosoma rodhaini strain Burundi genome assembly, scaffold: SROB_scaffold0000845